rnacentral:rRNA from 1 species
AAUGGCAACCAUACUGGCACUGAUACCCAUUAGAUCUAAUUAGAGAACAUUGCAGCUAAAUGUGUUGGGUGAAAGUAGUAUUAAAUUGGGUGACCAUUUGAAAAGUCCUCAUGUUGCACGAU